rnacentral:rRNA from 1 species
CGCGUAGGCGGCUUUGUAAGUCCGUUGUGAAAUCCCUCGGCUCAACCGAGGAACUGCGACGGAUACUGCUUGGCUUGAGUCCCGGAGAGGGUAGCGGAAUUCCCAGUGUAGCGGUGAAAUGCGUAGAUAUUGGGAGGAACAUCGGUGGCGAAGGCGGCUACCUGGACGGGUACUGACGCUGAGGCGCGAAAGCUAGGGGAGCAAACA